CCUACGGGAGGCUGCAGUGAGGAAUAUUGGUCAAUGGACGAGAGUCUGAACCAGCCAAGUAGCGUGAAGGAUGACUGCCCUAUGGGUUGUAAACUUCUUUUAUAUGGGAAUAAAGUGUUCCACGUGUGGGAUUUUGUAUGUACCAUAUGAAUAAGAAUCGGCUAACUCCGUGCCAGCAGCCGCGGUAAUACGGAGGAUCCGAGCGUAAUCCGGAUUUAUUGGGUUUAAAGGGAGCGUAGGUGGAUUGUUAAGUCAGUUGUGAAAGUUUGCGGCUCAACCGUAAAAUUGCAGUUGAAACUGGCAGUCUUGAGUACAGGAGAGGUGGGCGGAAUGCGUGGUGUAGCGGUGAAAUGCUUAGAUAUCACGAAGAACUCCGAUUGCGAAGGCAGUUCACUGGACUGCAACUGACACUGAGGCUCGAAAGUGUGGGUAUCAAACAGGAUUAGAUACCCCAGUAGUC
rnacentral:rRNA from 1 species